CCUACGGGUGGCAGCAGUGAGGAAUAUUGGUCAAUGGACGAGAGUCUGAACCAGCCAAGUAGCGUGAAGGAUGACUGCCCUAUGGGUUGUAAACUUCUUUUAUAUGGGAAUAAAACGUUCCACGUGUGGGAUUUUGUAUGUACCAUAUGAAUAAGGAUCGGCUAACUCCGUGCCAGCAGCCGCGGUAAUACUGCGGAUCCGAUCGUUAUCCGGUGUUAUUGGGUUUAAGGGAGCGUAGGUGGGUUGGUAAGUCAGUUGUGAAAGUUUGCGGCUCAACCGUAAAAUUGCAGUUGAAACUGGCAGUCUUGAGUACAGUAGAGGUGGGCGGAAUUCGUGGUGUAGCGGUGAAAUGCUUAGAUAUCACGAAGAACUCCGAUUGCGAAGGCAGUUCACUGGACUGCAACUGACACUGAGGCUCGAAAGUGUGGGUAUCAAACAGGAUUAGAUACCCCUGUAGUC
rnacentral:rRNA from 1 species